UAACAAUGUCUGAUAAAGUCGUAUCCAAUUUACAAAAGAUUUUCAAUCGUUUAACAGAACGUAAAUAAAAUUAUCAAGUAUUUUAAUUUCACAAGUGUUUUUCAAAUGUUCGUUUUGUUUACUGAAUUUAAUAAUCAUCAACAGAUUCGUGCGUACGACGCAGUUGUGAUUCGUCAGUGAAUACAAGUAACAUUAUUUACAAGGAAAAUAACUUUCGAGGAUCCCAGAGUCGAUGUUUCUAUAAAUAAUUAAAAAAGAAAAGAGCCGUAAUAAAAGCACAACAGGAAAAAUAUUCGGGGUCGCAGCUGAGUGAAAUGACGGGAAUACCUUAUCGAGGUGGUCACGUUAAAUGAUUCACCCUGUGUAGGUUAGCCAGUAACACAGCAGAGAAGUUGAUAAUGACCGAGAGAGAAUAGAAUAACUCACCGACUGUUGCAGUGACACGGCGAGCACGUUUUAUUACAAUAUCAAUACAGAUAUAUUCGCUUGAAACUAACAUCAACGAAGCUGGUGCUGCUUUUUGGAUGGUAUCCUGUUCGCUUGUUUCACACUUGCACGAAGGCCCGGGGAAACUGUAAGAAACCUAGCCGACCGGGCAGUCACAUUUUUACUAAAUGCCAGCUUGGUGGGGUCAUCAGCACCUCAGAAAAACUGCUUCCCGCUCAGUGAUUGAUGGGCAAUCCGGUGCAUGGCUAAGCGGUUAUCCAUCCCAGUAUUGAAUUUCUUUGAGGCUGCUUCAUUUGGGUGAAUGAAUUCGUGCUGGCACUCUACAAACUAAAAUAAUUAUAUACAAAACACCCACAAUCGUCGUAACCGAAGAAAAUGUUUUUUGAGAAUGAGUUGCCAAGCUGCCGUGUACCUUAACAAUGAGGAACGUCGAUAGUUUCAGGCUGAAAAAAUUACAAAGUGCGCUCCAAAUGUGAAUAAAAAUGUGGCAAAAACUUCGCAGUCGCAUCUUUAAAUAGCUCGCAAAAAAAAAUCUGAAAAAGCAUAAAAAAGGAAUCUUCACGCAUGCAGGAUCCUCAAAGAACAAUUUUCAAAUUGCUUCCAACUUUUUUUCAAAAAAAAUAAACGAAAUAAAAUGUUAAUUGGAA